GCCAGACUCCUACGGGAGGCAGCAGUGAGGAAUAUUGGGCAAUGGGCGCAAGCCUGACCCAGCAACGCCGCGUGAAGGAAGAAGGCUUUCGGGUUGUAAACUUCUUUUGUCAGGGACGAAGCAAGUGACGGUACCUGACGAAUAAGCCACGGCUAACUACGUGCCAGCAGCCGCGGUAAUACGUAUGGUGCAAGCGUUAUCCGGAUUUACUGGGUGUAAAGGGAGCGCAGGCGGCACGCUAAGCCUGAUGUGAAAACCCGCGGCCCAACCGCGGGAGUGCAUUGGGAACUGGCGAGCUAGAGUACCGGAGGGGCAGGCGGAAUUCCUAGUGUAGCGGUGAAAUGCGUAGAUAUUAGGAGGAACACCAGUGGCGAAGGCGGCCUGCUGGACGGAGACUGACGCUGAGGCUCGAAAGCGUGGGGAGCAAACAGGAUUAGAUACCCCCGUAAC
rnacentral:rRNA from 1 species